AGCGGGUUUUCAUCGCAGUGAUA
rnacentral:miRNA from 14 species